GUGUUAGUGUACUUUAUGUGUGACCCAAGACAAUUCUUCUUUUCCCAAGGUGCCACAGGGAAGCCAAAAGAUUGGACACCCUGUUCUAGAUCAUCCCAUCCAGUAGUGUUCAAACUUUUAUUUUUACAGCUAAAUUCCUCAAGCAGAUGGGCUCCUGUGUGGAAUCACAAUGAUGCUGGUUAAGAUUCACUGAAUGCUUGCUAUAUAUCAGGCUCUGUUUGGAGCCCAGCAUAUAUAUAUAUAAUCUCAUUUAAUCCCACAGUACCUGAUGAGGGAGGUACUGCUGUUUGUCCCAUUUAUUUUUUAUUUAUUUAUUUUAUUUUAUUUUUUUUGAGAUGGAGUUUCACUCUUGUUGCCCAGGCUGGAGUGCAAUGGCGCAAUCUCGGCUCACCACAACCUCCGCCUCCCAGGUUCAAGCAAUUCUCCUGCCUCAGCCUCCCAAGUAGCUGGGAUUACAGGCACGCACCACCAUGCCCGGGUAAGGGGCUGGCUCUCAGCACCAGGACCUGGCACAGCAUCUGACCCAGAGGACAGCUCAGUUCAUGAUUGCCAGAUGGCUGCACGCAGCGCGGAGGAGAGCCCCCUGGGUCUGAAAUAGAGGCUGGAGAGGAGGACUGUGAGUCCAGAGGAGGGAGAGUGAUGGUAUCCCACACACAAGCCAGCGUGUCUAGGACUCCUAUCUGAAGACACUGCAGAGGUGAGUCCUGAGUGACAGAGACUAAGCCAUAGAAAGACAGAGAGAAAAACAGACAAAAUGAGACCGAGUCAGAGGCAGAAAGCCAGAGAGGCAAAGAGGCAAAGGCAUAGAAAGAGAGGGGGACAGAGAGAAAGAGAAAAGGACAGGGGAGAGAGAGGGGUGCGGGAAGCAGACAGGACAGAGAGAGAGGAGCAACAGACAGACAGAGAAGAAAGAAAGACCAAGAUAAAGGCAGACAGAGAGAAUGAGAGAGAUGAGACAGAGACACGCAGAAACUAACAAGGGGGUCAGAGAAUGAAAGAGAGACAGAAGGACACAGGAGCUCCCAAAGGCCAAAUCCAGGAAGAUCAGAGCAUCAAAAUACAUGAUGAUAGGAAUGGCUUAAAUGCGUCUUUGCUGACGAUCAGAAAUGCAGUCAUCGCCACAUAAUGACAGUGGUCCCAUAAACUUAUGAUACUGUAUUUUUAGUGUCCCUUUUCUACAUUUAGAUAUGUUUAGAUAUACAAAUACUUACCACCUGUUACAGUUCCCAGCCUACAGCGUUCAGUACAGUGACAUGCUGUGCGGGAUUUUAGCCCGGGAGCUAUAGGCUAUACCAUACAGUAGCAUAGGUGUGCAGUAGGCUGUACCGUCUGGGUAUAUAUAAGUACUCUCUAUAGUGCUUGCACAAUGACAAAAUCCCCCAACAACACAUUUCUCAGAAGGUAUCCCCAUUGUUAAGUGACUCAUGACUGUAACUGAAUAAACAAAAUUUGAUAAGGCACAAGAUACUUACGUCAUCUCCAAGCACCUCCCCACAUUAUACUUAGAAAUUACAAAGAAGAAGAAAGUAACUUUUCCUGGCUUCCUCCACUUUAAUCAAGUGAUCAAAGUUAACAUCACUGCAACGGUAAUGGGAUGAUGAAGCCAAGCUGGGAGCAGGGGUGCACUGAGAACAGACGCCGCUUCUGCGGUAUCCCUGCCAGAAAGCCUCAACCUGAACCUAAUCAUGAGGAAACAUCAGGCCAACCCAAACUAAGGGACAACCUACACAUUAAACGUCUUGGAAUCUCCGAAAGUGACAAGGUCAUGAAAAUCAAGGAAAGGCUGAGGAGCUUUCCAGACUGAAGGCAGCAAAAAGACUUGGCAACCGAAAGUAACGGCGGCUUCUGAACCAGAUUCUGUUGAUGCCCACAAGGACAUCACUGGGACCACUGGCGGGACUUCCCUGGGUCUAGACUGAAUG
ensembl:lncRNA TNS1-AS1 TNS1 antisense RNA 1